UACGGGGGGGGCAAGCGUUGUUCGGAAUUACUGGGCGUAAAGGGCGCGUAGGCGGCCUACUAAGUCGGACGUGAAAUCCCUCGGCUCAACCGAGGAACUGCGUCCGAUACUGGCAGGCUGGAAUCCGGGAGAGGGAUGUGGAAUUCCAGGUGUAGCGGUGAAAUGCGUAGAUAUCUGGAGGAACACCGGUGGCGAAGGCGGCAUCCUGGACCGGCAUUGACGCUGAGGAGCGAAAGCCAGGGGAGCAAACGGG
rnacentral:rRNA from 1 species